rnacentral:ncRNA from 12 species
GUAAGCUAGGUCUGUGGUUGAAAGUCGAGGCUAGUCGCAGGCAAAACGAUCCACGUAACUCAAACAAAGUUUUGAUGAGCAUGGUGCGGUAUAGAAGUAAGUCCUACCAAUUUUAAUUGAGAGGGGUAGUAGUGAGAGGGUAAUUCUGGGUAGCGAAAUCUCCAGUAGGCGAGUGUGGGGGCAAAGACCAGGUCAGCUAGCUUAA